rnacentral:rRNA from 1 species
AACGAACGCUGGCGGCAUGCCUAACACAUGCAAGUCGAACGAAGCCUUCGGGCUUAGUGGCGCACGGGUGCGUAACACGUGGGAAUCUGCCCUUUGGUUCGGAAUAACAGUUAGAAAUGACUGCUAAUACCGGAUAAUGACGUAAGUCCAAAGAUUUAUCGCCGAAGGAUGAGCCCGCGUAGGAUUAGGUAGUUGGUGGGGUAAAUGGCCCACCAAGCCGACGAUCCUUAGCUGGUCUGAGAGGAUGAUCAGCCACACUGGGACUGAGACACGGCCCAGACUCCUACGGGAGGCAGCAGUGGGGAAUAUUGGACAAUGGGCGAAAGCCUGAUCCAGCAAUGCCGCGUGAGUGAUGAAGGCCUUAGGGUUGGUAAAAGCUCUUUUUACCAGGGAUGAUAAUGACAGUACCUGGAGAAUAAAGCUCCCGGGCUAAACUCCCGUGCCAGCAGCCGCGGUAAU